GCGGGGAUAGCUCAGUUGGGAGAGCGUCAGACUGAAGUUAACUUUAGUGCUAUAUCUGAAGGUCAUGUGUUCGAUCCACAUUCACCGCA